AUAUCAAUAAGCGGAGGAAAAGAAACUAACAAGGAUUCCCCUAGUAACUGCGAGUGAAGCGGGAUGAGCUCAAAUUUGUAAUCUGGCGCAAGCCCGAGUUGUAAUCUAGAGAAGCGUUUUCGGCCGUUGCCUCGGAAAAGUCCCUUGGAACAGGGUGUCAUAGAGGGUGAGAAUCCCGUCUUUGCCGAGCUCCCAACGUCUAUGUGAUACGCUCUCGACGAGUCGAGUUGUUUGGGAAUGCAGCUCAAAAUGGGUGGUAAAUUCCAUCUAAAGCUAAAUAUUGGCGAGAGACCGAU
rnacentral:rRNA from 1 species